rnacentral:tRNA from 1 species
GCGGUGGUGGUUCAAUGGUAGAAUUCCUGCCUUCCGUGCCGGAGACUUGGGUUCAAUUCCCAACCAAUGCA